UGGGGAAUAUUGCACAAUGGGCGCAAGCCUGAUGCAGCCAUGCCGCGUGUAUGAAGAAGGCCUUCGGGUUGUAAAGUACUUUCAGUCGGGAGGAAGGUGUCAAGGUUAAUAACCUUGGCAAUUGACGUUACCGACAGAAGAAGCACCGGCUAACUCCGUGCCAGCAGCCGCGGUAAUACGGAGGGUGCAAGCGUUAAUCGGAAUUACUGGGCGUAAAGCGCACGCAGGCGGUUGAUUGAGUCAGAUGUGAAAUCCCCGGGCUUAACCCGGGAAUUGCAUCUGAUACUGGUCAGCUAGAGUCUUGUAGAGGGGGGUAGAAUUCCAUGUGUAGCGGUGAAAUGCGUAGAGAUGUGGAGGAAUACCGGUGGCGAAGGCGGCCCCCUGGACAAAGACUGACGCUCAGGUGCGAAAGAGUGGGGAGCAAACAGG
rnacentral:rRNA from 1 species